rnacentral:rRNA from 1 species
GAUGAACGCUGGCGGCGUGCCUAAUACAUGCAAGUCGAGCGAACAGACGAGGAGCUUGCUCCUCUGACGUUAGCGGCGGACGGGUGAGUAACACGUGGAUAACCUACCUAUAAGACUGGGAUAACUUCGGGAAACCGGAGCUAAUACCGGAUAAUAUAUUGAACCGCAUGGUUCAAUAGUGAAAGACGGUUUUGCUGUCACUUAUAGAUGGAUCCGCGCCGCAUUAGCUAGUUGGUAAGGUAACGGCUUACCAAGGCAACGAUGCGUAGCCGACCUGAGAGGGUGAUCGGCCACACUGGACCUGAGACACGGUCCAGACUCCUACGGGAGGCAGCAGUAGGGAAUCUUCCGCAAGGGGCGAAAGCCUGACGGAGCAACGCCGCGUGAGUGAUGAAGGUCUUCGGAUCGUAAAACUCUGUUAUUGGGGAAGAACAAAUGUGUAAGUAACUAUGCACGUCUUGACGGUACCAAAUCAGAAAGCCACGGCUAACUACGU